rnacentral:tRNA from 1 species
GCUCCAUUGGUCUAGGGGUUAGGACAUUCGGUUUUGAUAACCCAACAUUUCCGGAUAGCGGCAGUUCGAAUCUGUCAUGGAGCU